rnacentral:miRNA from 1 species
AUUUUGCACCAUUCACUGUCU